UACGAAGGGGGCUAGUGUUGUUCGGAGUUACUGGGCGUAAAGGGCGCGUAGGCGGCGCACCAAGUCAGGCGUGAAAGCCCUGGGCUCAACCCGGGAAUUGCGCUUGAGACUGGUGUGCUUGAGUACGGGAGAGGAUAGUGGAAUUCCCAGUGUAGAGGUGAAAUUCGUAGAUAUUGGGAAGAACACCGGUGGCGAAGGCGGCUAUCUGGACCGUAACUGACGCUGAGGCGCGAAAGCGUGGGGAGCAAACAGG
rnacentral:rRNA from 1 species